UACGUAGGGGGCAAGCGUUGUCCGGAUUUAUUGGGCGUAAAGAGCUCGUAGGCGGCUUGGCAAGUCGGGUGUGAAAGCCCCGGGCUCAACCUGGGAAUGCCAUUCGAGACUGCAUAGCUAGGGUGCGGAAGAGGGAAGCGGAAUUUCCGGUGUAGCGGUGAAAUGCGUAGAUAUCGGAAGGAACACCAGUGGCGAAAGCGGCUUCCUGGUCCAGCAC
rnacentral:rRNA from 1 species